CCCUUAGAUGUCCUGGGCCGCACGCGCGUUACACUGAUGCAUUCAACGAGCUUAUAACUUGGCCGAGAGGCCUGGGCAAUCUUGUUAACGUGCAUCGUGAUAGGGAUAGAUUAUUGAAAUUAUUAAUCUUGAACGAGGAAUUCCUAGUAAACGCAGAUCAUCAAUCUGCAUUGAUUACGUCCCUGCCCUUUGUACACACCGCCCGUCGCACCUACCGAUUGGAUGGUCCGGUGAAGCCUCGGGAUUGUGGUUCUUGCCGCUUUAUUGUGGCGUGACCGCGAGAACUUGUCUAAACCUUAUCAUCUAGAGGAAGGUGAAGUCGUAACA
rnacentral:rRNA from 1 species